CAAAUUUUGAUCUGAAAUCAGGUAGGAUUACCCGCUGAACUUAAGCAUAUCAAUAAGCGGAGGAAAAGAAACUAACAAGGAUUCCCUCAGUAACGGCGAGUGAAGCGGGAAGAGCUCAAAUUUAAAAUCUGGUUUGCUUGCAAGCCCGAGUUGUAGUCUGAAGAAACGUUUUCCAUAAGCACUGAGGCAAAAGUCCCUUGGAACAGGGCAUCAUAGAGGGUGAGAAUCCCGUCCAUGGUCUCAAGUUGUUUAUUUUGUGAUACGUUUUCAAAGAGUCAGGUUGUUUGGGAAUGCAGCCUAAAAUGGGUGGUAAAUUUCAUCUAAAGCUAAAUAUUGGCGAGAGACCGAUAGCGAACAAGUACCGUGAGGGAAAGAUGAAAAGAACUUUGAAAAGAGAGUUAAACAGUACGUGAAAUUGUUGAAAGGGAACCGUUUGAAGCCAGUCUUACUUGCCUGUGAUCAAUUUUUGCYUCGGCAUGAAUGCACUCUCGGGUAUGGUAGGCCAACGACAGUUUGGAAUGCGAGAAAAAAAUAAGGGAAAUGUGGCCUUCGGGUGUUAUAGUCCMUUAUAAAAUAUCGUGUUCUGGACUGAGGAUCGCAGCAAAAAUGUGGGCAGGUGGAUUUCUGUGGUAACUGUCGRUUAGGACAACUUGUUGACCUAGUCUUCMUUAGCCUCACUAUUUACCUCGCUUCUAAUUUGCUUAGGUCGUUGGCAUAAUGGCUUUAAAUGACCCGUCUUGAAACACGGACCAAGGAGUCUAACAUAUAUGCGAGUAUUUGGGUGGCAAACCCAUAUGCGCAAUGAAAGUGAAAUUAGGUGCCAAACCUUCACGGGUGGCAGCAUCGGCCGGCUCUGACGUUUUAACUGACGAGUCUGAGCAGAAGCAUACAUGUUGGGACCCGAAAGAUGGUGAACUAUGCCUGAAUAGGGUGAAGCCAGAGGAAACUCUGGUGGAGGCUCGUAGCGAUUCUGACGUGCAAAUCGAUCGUCAAAUUUGGGUAUAGGGGCGAAAGACUAAUCG
rnacentral:rRNA from 1 species